rnacentral:rRNA from 1 species
CUACGGGAGGCACCAGUGGGGAAUAUUGCACAAUGGACGAAAGUCUGAUGCAGCAACGCCGCGUGGAGGAUGACACAUUUCGGUGCGUAAACUCCUUUUAUAUAGGAAGAUAAUGACGGUACUAUAUGAAUAAGCACCGGCUAACUCCGUGCCAGGCAGCCUCGGUAAUACGGAGGGUGCAAGCGUUACUCGGAAUCACUGGGCGUAAAGAGCGUGUAGGCGGGUUAAUAAGUUGGAAGUGAAAUCCUAUGGCUCAACCAUAGAACUGCUUCCAAAACUGUUAACCUAGAAUAUGGGAGAGGUAGAUGGAAUUUCUGGUGUAGGGGUAAAAUCCGUAGAGAUCAGAAGGAAUACCGAUUGCGAAGGCGAUCUACUGGAACAUUAUUGACGCUGAGACGCGAAAGCGUGGGGAGCAAACAGGAUUAGAUACCCUUGUAGUC